ensembl:antisense 4930469G21Rik RIKEN cDNA 4930469G21 gene
AGGACUAUCUGAAAGGCUUUGACAGGAGUGCCUCUUUAGUGCUUGAGGCAUCUUUUGCUCUGUCUGACCAAUUUUUUAGCACAAGAUUUUCUUCUCAGUUAAGACAAAAAAAAAAAAGAUGUCUACCCAAAGACUGUCUGUGCUUUCUCCCCUUCUGCUCUUCUGCUUCUUCAGAGAGACUUUCUCCAUUUGUGACGGGACAACGUGGACAAAGGUCGGAUGGGAGAUUUUUCCAGAGGAAGUGCACUACCUGAAAGUUAAGGCCCCCCCAUCCAGCUGCCUACCUUAUCCUCUGGACACACUCUGCUGCAACUUUGCUAACAUGGACCUCUUACAGAGCGCCUUACACCUCACUUACAUCUUAGUACAAGCUCUCUGCUUAAUCCUGUUUGCUUUAUCUGUGCAUUACCUAUGGAUGAAAUGGACAAGACACCAAAAAAAGCUGAAAAAGCAAGCUUCCUUAGAGAAACACGCUAAUGGCCUAGACCUGAGCCCAUCCAUCCAUGACAUUGAACAAAUCCUCUGCAGACUACUGGCCACAACAUCAAUGAUGACCAAGUUCCUGAAGCACGUGUCUCACCACUCUUCUGUCAAGAAAGCUAAGCAACAACGUAAAUUAAGGAAGAAGAAGAGUAAGGGAGAAGAGGAGCAGAAGAUCACUGCUAUCCCUAAGCUCGUGCAAAUGUAGCUUGGUCAAGUGCGGAGAGGACAAAAGCUCGUGCAAAUGUAGCUUGGUCAAGUGCGGAGUAUAAAAGAAAUCUAUUGCAGGGACUGUCUGAGGACACAAAGGUUUCUUUGGGGGCUUGCUUUUUUUUUUUUUUUUUUGCCACAAUCAUUACAGAAAAAUUCUCAGACGAGCUCUGGGUUUCCGCUCAACUGAAAACGAAUCCACUCUUUCUAACGUGGCUCCCAGAAUAAACUGAGAACACCUUAACUGGAA